ACUGGUGAGUAACGCGUGGAUGACGUACCCUCGUGACGGGGAUAGCCGGUAGAAAUACCGGGUAAUACCGGAUAAGGUCUCACGGAAUAAAGGCGUGAGAGGAAAGCAGCGUAUGCUGUGCAGGAGGAACGGUCUGCGGCCUAUCAGCUGGUUGGCAGGGUAAAGGCCUACCAAGGCGACGACGGGUAUCCGGCCUGAGAGGGUGGACGGACACAUUGGGACUGAGAUACGGCCCAGACUCCUACGGGAGGCAGCAGCUAAGAAUAUUCCGCAAUGGGGGGAACCCUGACGGAGCGACGCCGCGUGGACGAUGAAGGUCGGAAGAUUGUAAAGUCCUUUUAUACAUGAAGAAGAAGUUAUACAGGAAAUGGUAUGAUGGUGACGGUAGUGUAUGAAUAAGCACCGGCUAAUUACGUGCCAGCAGCCGCGGUAACACGUAAGGUGCGAGCGUUGUUCGGAAUUAUUGGGCGUAAAGGGCAUGCAGGCGGUCGUGCAAGCCCGGCGUGAAAGGCGGGGGCUCAACUCCCGAACUGCGCUGGGAACUGUAAGGCUUGAGUUUCUGAAGGGUAGUCGGAAUUCCACGUGUAGGGGUGAAAUCUGUAGAUAUGUGGAAGAACACCAAUGGCGAAGGCAGGCUACCGGCAGAAGACUGACGCUGAGGUGCGAAGGUGCGGGGAGCAAACAGGAUUAGAUACCCUGGUAGUCCG
rnacentral:rRNA from 1 species